UUUGUCAUCCACAUGAUCUCUCAUUCUCUUCCUCAAAAUCCGACAUUCAAAUUCACUGUAUAAACAAAUUCGAAAACUUUCUCUCUGCUUUGGUUAGAUUCCUUCGCAAACUGAAGAAUUAGCAAAACUGUAGCGAAGUUGUUUUGCAUUGUUUAUGGGUUUUUAGUAAUAAUCGAACUCCAAAGAACACUUCCAACCUCAAGGCUUACCGAAGAUUAUGACUCAAACUCAUAUUGUAAUCAAAGCAUUCGUGUUAGAAAGACAGCUAAAAUGAUGAAACUAGUUUCUCUCUGUGACAUUAGUAAUGGGUUUGUGCCCAAAACGUCAACUGAUUUGUUUGUGAAACCAAGAAUCAGAAAGCUUCCCAGAGGAGAUAUAAUCACAAGGCUACGGGUGUUUGAUUCGAAUGCACGGGAGAAUCUGAAUGCUAAAAGAACAAGAAUAAACUUUAGUGUUGGGCCAGUCUUUUGCAAGACUUAUGAAGAAGAGGAAAUUCCCAAAGCAAAAUUGAUAUGGAGAGCAAUCAAACUACCCAUUUACUCUGUCGCUUUGGUUCCUCUCACCGUUGGUGCUUCAGCGGCCUAUUUGGAGACUGGUUUAGUCCUAGUUAGACGUUAUGCUACUCUAAUGCUCUCAUCAGUACUUAUCAUUACUUGGCUCAACUUAAGCAAUGAUGUUUAUGAUUUUGAUACCGGAGCUGAUAAGAACAAAAGGGAAUCCGUAGUGAAUAUGGUUGGAAGCCGGGCAGGAACCUUUGCAGCUGCAAUCACAACUCUUGUGCUCGGUGUUUCUGGUUUAAUUUGGAUAUCUUGGACAGCAAGUAAUAUCCGUGCAAUACUAUUGCUUGCCUCAGCUAUAUUAUGCGGCUAUAUAUACCAGUGUCCGCCAUUUCGGUUAAGUUACCAAGGAUUAGGAGAGCCUCUAUGCUUUGCAGCAUUUGGUCCAUUUGCAACUACUGCCUUUUAUUUACUUCUUGGUGGUGGCUCAAGCGAGAUGAGGCAUCUUCCAUUGAGCAGUAGGGUUCUUUCAUCGUCUCUCCUUGUUGGUUUUACCACAUCUCUCAUCCUUUUCUGCAGCCAUUUUCAUCAGGUUGAAGGAGAUUUAGCUGUGGGGAAAUUUUCACCUCUGUGUUUUACACAGGUCCGGUUAGGGACUGAAAAAGGAGCUUUUGUUGUGAGAUGGGCUAUUCGUUUGCUCUAUUUUAUGCUUCUUGUUCUUGGUUUAACCAAGAUUUUGCCAGUAACUUGCACAUUACUGUGUUUUCUGACAUUGCCAGUUGGGAAUUUAGUGUCAAGCUAUGUCGAAAACCACCACAAGGAGGAUGAGAAGAUAUUCAUGGCUAAGUAUUAUUGUGUAAGACUCCACGCUUUCUUUGGAGCUGCUUUGUCGUUGGGACUCGUUAUCGCUCGCUAGAUUUCACUUCGUUGUGUGUCUUUUGCCUUGUGUUGCAUCUCAAAUUGUUUAUUUCAUUUUUAUGCUAAAAUCAAACAGUUUUUAAAACUAGAAAGAUAUUCGUUAAUUAACACACACCUGGUUUGUUUGUUUCUCUCUUUAUAAAAGGGUCUUCAUUUUGGGUU